AUGGCUGCCGCCGCCGCUGCCAAAUCAGAUGAUGAGGACAACUACGAGGAGUACGUCCCCGUCGCCAAGCGCAGGGCCAUGGAGGCUGAUCGCUUCCGCCACCAGCGCCUUCCCAAGCCCGCCGUCCCCUCCCUCCCACCGCCUCCGCCCCCACCGACCAACAACUCCGCCCCCGGCCCCGCCGCCAAGCCCAGCCUCCUCGUCACGUCCACACUGCGCAAGCGCACCGCCCCGGAGAUCACCCCCACCGAGCGGUUGAUACAGGAGGAGCAGAAGAUUGCCGAGGAGGCCUCCUACCGCACGACCCUCAAGCCCGUGGGGGAGAUCGCCAAGGACAUCACCUACACUGAGCCGCUCCGCACCGGCUGGAAGCCGCCGCUGUGGCUCCGCCGCAUGCCGCGCCAAAAGGCCGACGAGCUCCGCCGCAAGUGGCAUAUCCUCGUCGAGGGCGAGGAGGUCCCGCCGGCGGCCCGCAACUUCUGGGACCUCCGGUUCCCCGAGCCCAUCUCCCGCAUGCUCCGGGAGAAGGGCAUCGUGCAGCCCACGCCCAUCCAGGUGCAGGGGCUCCCAGUCGCGCUCUCCGGGCGCGACAUGAUCGGCUUCGCCUUCACCGGCUCUGGGAAGACGCUGGUGUUCGUGCUGCCGCUCAUCAUGGUGGCGCUGCAGGAGGAGAUGCUGAUGCCGAUUGUGCCUGGGGAGGGGCCCUUCGGGAUGAUCAUUUGCCCAUCACGGGAGCUGGCCAAGCAGACGUAUGAUGUUAUCGAUAUGUUCCUCUCUCCCCUCAAGCAGGCCGGGUUCCCAGAAAUACGACCCUUGCUCUGCAUUGGGGGUGUAGACAUGAGGACGCAGCUCGACGUGGUGAGGAAGGGUGUGCAUAUUGUGGUCGCCACGCCUGGACGGCUCAAGGAUCUUCUCGCCAAAAAGAUGAACCUUGACAAUUGCAGGUAUGUAACAUUAGAUGAAGCUGACAGGCUUGUUGAUCUUGGGUUUGAGGAUGACAUUCGGGAGGUUCUUAACCAUUUCAAGGUAAAAGAUAAUUUCAAGGCACCAAGGCAAACCCUUCUUUUUUCUGCCACUAUGCCGAAGAAGAUUCAGAACUUCGCAAUGAGCGCCCUCGUGAAGCCAGUUGUUGUCAAUGUCGGAAGAGCUGGAGCAGCAAAUCUUGAUGUCAUUCAAGAAGUUGAGUAUGUCAAGGAAGAUGCCAGAAUUAUAUACCUCCUUGAGUGCCUUCAAAAGACUCCACCUCCAGCUCUUAUAUUUUGUGAAAACAAAGCUGAUGUUGACUACAUCCAUGAGUAUCUUCUUCUAAAGGGUGUUGAAGCAGUUGCAAUCCAUGGAGGAAAAGAUCAGGAGGAAAGACAGAGUGCGAUUGAGUUCUUCAAGAAUGGAAAGAAGGAUGUUUUGGUAGCUACUGAUGUUGCCUCAAAGGGUCUUGAUUUCCCUGAUAUCCAGCAUGUGAUUAACUAUGAUAUGCCUGCCGAGAUAGAGAACUAUGUCCACAGGAUUGGUCGAACUGGCCGAUGUGGGAAAACUGGAAUAGCAACUACAUUCAUCAACAAGAACCAGACAGAGACUACGCUUCUUGACCUGAAGCAUCUGCUCAAGGAAGCGAAGCAAAGAAUACCACCAGUGCUCGCUGAGCUCGUUGACCCACUGGAGGAUGCUGAGGCUAUCGCAAAGGCGAGUGGUGUAAAGGGAUGUGCGUCAUGUGGUGGCCUUGGGCACCGUAUUGCUGACUGUCCUAAGCUGGAGCACCAGAGGUCCGCAGCGAUGGCUGGUUCCAGAAGAGAUUACUACGGUGGUGGAGGUUACCGAGGAGAAAUAUGA
rnacentral:rRNA from 1 species